GACCUCCAUCCGCCAUCGGGCCGGGCGGGAGGGGUGGCCAAAGUUCCGGCAAAACCGAGAGCAAACAUUUCUGUCCCUACUCCCCAGCCUCCUGCCUCCACCCCACCAGGCUGCUCUCUCGGUUCCAGAAGGGAGCUAUAAAUUAAAGGUUUUUACAGUGUUUACUGAGGGUGUUUUUUUGUGUGUGUGUUUUUUUGGAGAGGGACGAGACGAGGUAGGGAAGAUAGGACUCAAGAGCUUUCCGGCUGUGACCCUCUGAGGCGUGUAGGGUGGUCUUCCUGGUUCCCAGGGUAGCCGAUUAGCAUAUUGAACUCUGCAGAGCUGCUCCGUCACAUUUCGAAACACCAAGAAAUCCCCUUUUCUCCACCCCACCACAAGAUCAGGAACUGAAAUAGUCCACCGAGUAGCAGUGCACAAAAUUCAGGAGACUCGAGCUUUGUCCCUUUUUUCCCCCCCAUUUUCGUCCAAUUUCUUCUAGUUUUACUGCUUCGGGUUGUUCCUGUGGGGGCCCACAUUUGCAGUCGGCCGGCUGGAAAUACUCUUGUGCUCGUACUUUUUAU
rnacentral:lncRNA from 1 species